UGACCCUGACUAACAACACUAACAAAAGCUGUCCUGGACACCAUCCCAGUGAGAGCUGUGCACAGCACUCUCAGUUUGAGGCAGGGUGAGCUGUGACAGAGCAGGUUCAUCACAGCUAUAGAAAUCCUCCCCAAAACGAAACCUGACAGGAGCCUCCCAAAUGGCUGCCUACGCAGAGGAGAGAGGAGACAUCAGCAAGGACAUAAGAGCUCCAGAGAUGGAAACCUGGAUGCAGCCCUGAAGAUUAGAGCAACAGCAUCAUCCAUAGUCAACUAGAAUUUCUCUUCUACAGGCAAUAAAUAUUGGAUUAUUUAUUUUG